UUAAAAAGGAAAAGGUGACUUUGUCGUUUGUGGAAAAAAAAAAGGACAAUUGGUGUUGGUCUGAAGAAAAGACCCGCGUGAGGGUAGUGUCGCGGGGGUGGUAGAGGACGUUACGGAUUGCGGAUUGGCAGAGACAGUUUUGGGAUUUUGGCAGAGAAUUCGGUUACCAAAAAAUGGGAGAAACAAUAAGGAGGUAUUGAUUGAAAAAGAAAAGAGGAGACUACGAUUGAGGACACUGGCAAAGGAGAAAGGGUGACCAAAGUUCUUCAGAGGAAUAGAGGAGGGAAGCAUCAAGAGGGGUUGAGGGUGAUUGCUGUGAAAUUUAGCACCAAGGGUCCAAUAAGGCUAGGACACCAUGGAUUUGGGCCCAAGCCCAAUAACUAAAGUCCAACAACCCAACCUAAGGAGAAGGGUAAAAGAGACAUUUCCACAAAGGGAGGGGGUGAAUUUAUCAAAUAGGGAGCUGCCCCAAGAAGAGUUCACAUGUUUCACCAUCACGGCAUCUGAUACGUGAUUUGGUAGAAACAUUGUUGCACCUCCAUGCAUCUGCAUUGCUUCAUCCAGAAGAAUGACAUACAUCUUUCACCGUUGCCACGUGGGAAGAUCCGCAUCUCUUCAGCUACCAUCUCCACCUUCCAUAGCAUAGGAUUUGCCUUAUAAAUAUGAAUGUAUCAGAUUAUGAUAGCACUUUUGGAAUGAAUGAGAGAAUUGAUUUGUUGAUGAAAUUUCCAGCGUCUUCUCCCACCGAAAGUCACCACCAUGUGCUUCUUCCAACUUCUCCUCUAGCUUCCUUCCAUUGAUGAAGGCCGUUUGAGCUAGCUCCAUUCCACCAAAGCACUUCAUCCAGCUCCUUCUUCCAAGAUUCAUAUUCUUCCGCUGCAUAUCCUCUGUUAACGCGUUUCUCUACCGCUGCCACUAAGCCUCACUACUUCAUUUUGCAUUUUCCUCUGCUGUCAUUACCUCUCUGCUCUUGAAGCUCACGGAUCUGCAAAGAAUAGCACCAACCAUGGCGCUAUCAAGUGGUAUUCAGAGCAAGUUGAUUUCAUUGAUUUCAUUAUUUCUUCACCGAAUUGUGAUCUAUCUGAGGUGUAUUUGACUGGAAAUGGACUGACCAGAGGUUCCCCAUCAUUGGUAGCAUCCUAGGGAGUGGAGAAUUAGCGGAAACCACAAGGAGUGGAGGCUCUUGGUAUUGUAGAAUUUGUUGUUGCAAAGUGUAACUACUGCAACAGCAGCCUGUGUGGAUACAAAUUCUUGUUAUACGCAUUAAAGCCUCACUUCCAACAACUGUGAGAAUUGUGACUGCACCAAAUUCAAACAAUUUUUUUUUAGAGCAGCCAUAGUUGCAUUGCCAAACCCCUCCCAUCUUUUUUUUCUCUCUAUUGAGAAGCCAGAGUUGCAAUUUUCACUACUUUGUCUUCUGUUUUGUUUUCCAAAUUUUUCCAAUUCUCAUUAGCAUUUGGAAAUACAUUACAUGCAUUGAUUUCAGUUUUGCUUGAAUGAUAUUUGGAAGUGAAAUCUUGAUGCAACUUAGACUUGUGCAUUUACUGAUCAAAGUGCAACUCUUACAGUCAAAUUUAUUUUCAGAACAAAAUUGAGAAAAAUGGUUUUAUUUUUUUCAUUUGGGCAUUAAUUUGGAAUUGUACAGCUAGCAGUUUUCAUACAACACUGUUUUGACCAGUUUGGUUCUCCUUCUCUAGCUGUUCAAGCCAAUGAUUUUGACCAAUUGAAUUCACUAAAAUUUGUUGCAUCAUCUGGACUAGUUGUUGUCCUCGGUGUAAUCUCAUUGUGGAGGAUUAAAAUCUGGUUGGUGAUAAGCUUCAAUAUUCUGGAAUUUGGAAGCAGAGAAGAGAAUCGUGUUAAUGCAGUAAAGCCGACAGAAGAGUUGAAGACUUUGCCCCUGGAACAGUUUGAGAUCUAAGGGUUAUCAUUGGAGAGUAAGAGAGAGUUCUUAGUUGCCUCAAGUGCAUAAGACGAGAUAGGAGGACAAUUAUGUUGCACCGAUUUCAGAAAUUGUCCCAGCAGUUGUACACAAUCCCAUGAUUUCACUAAACCGAGAGCAAAAAGGGAAAAUUCUAAAUUUGUGAUACGGUGUGAUAAUAGCUUUGUUAGCUGCCUACUGAAUUUGGUUUACAUUCUAUGUGCAGUUUUGAAAAGUAAUGGAGAAUAUAUACAGCUGCAACAGAAAACUGAAAAAGGAAAGUGCAACCACAAGCUAGGAAAGACUCCAAAAGUAGCCCAGCACAUGAAUUUGAACAAAAACCACAAUGUGGCAGCAACUGUUCUUAGCUUCCUUUGUAAUUGUAGUAUUCAUUUUUGAAUUGUAAUAGGUUUUUGUGUUAGUUUUCCUUUAUUUGUAAAAGGCCAUUGAAAGUCCAAGAGGAUUGGAAGAGUCCUUGGUGCUCUUUUAAUUCUUGGCAAUUGAUCUUGUUUGGUUGUGCUUGUGUUUAAAUUUGUGUUUUCCGUUUAGGGGUCACAUUAGAGUCCGAAUAUUAGGAGUCUAGUUUGUUUCUUUGUGAGUCCAUGUCCUUUGAUUUUAAAGGUAAUUUUAGUUUAAAGGGAUAACUUGUCAGUAGCCUAAGACAUUUCUGGCAAGGUAAGACUUGGUACUUAAGCAGUCUUUAUGACUCACCUCUCUUACCUGGGACUUGUCUAAGUGUGAAUCUUGUAUACCUUUUACACUAGAAAAACUUUUAAGAACAAAGAUGUCUUGUUAUUCAUAUAGGUCUUCUUGUUCAUAUAUGUUGUCUAGUUUAUAUAAUGUUGAUGAAAUGUUUAAACAAGCUAGGAAUCUUCCAUUCUUUGGAAAAGACAUAGGUGCAUUAACAUACCUAGCUUGGGAAAAAGAAGUGGAUAAAAUAAAUCCUUGGUUUUAUAGAGAGAGGGAGUCUUAUGUUUGUUAGCAAAAAUAAAAGAUGAAGUUUUGAUGAUGAACAGAUUUGCAUAAGUCAAGAUCCAUAAAGACGGAUUGAAGAUCUCUGUAUUUUAUAAAGCUUUUAUAAUAAUCAAAGUUGAUGUAAUAGUGCUCAAAUAUGUACUAGGGUUGAUUCUUGUAAUUUAUAGUUGAUUUAUUUACUGUUGAGAAUCAUCCACAAGUUGUUUUAAUCGAUUAAACCCAGUUUUAAUCGAUUAAAACGAGGUUGGCACUGAAAACCCAAUU